CAAAUAGGUUUAAAUUUUAAAAUAGUAAAAUUAGAAGAAUAUAGAGAAGAUUAGCAUGACCGCUGUGCAAGGAUGACAGACAGUCAUUAAGCAUUUUAUAUUUUU
rnacentral:snRNA from 1 species